GCCCCCGUAGCUCAACCGGAUAGAGCAACGGAUUUCUAAUCCGUAGGUUAAUGGUUCGAAUCCAUUCGGGGGUA
rnacentral:tRNA from 1 species